GGCUUCGUAGUGUAGUGGUCAGCACGCUCGGCCCGUUUUCGAGAGCUCUCAGGUUAGAGUCCCGGCGAGGGCA
rnacentral:tRNA from 1 species